rnacentral:rRNA from 1 species
UACGUAGGCAGCAAGCGUUGUUCGGAGUUACUGGGCGUAAAGGGUGCGUAGGUGGCUCUAUAAGUAUGGUGUGAAAUCUCCCGGCUUAACUGGGAGGGUGCGUCGUAGACUGUGGGGCUAGAGUGUGGGAGAGGAAAGUGGAAUUCCUGGUGUAGCGGUGAAAUGCGUAGAUAUCAGGAGGAACACCGGUGGUGUAAACGGCUUUCUGGACCAUAACUGACACUGAGGCACGAAAGCGUGGGUAGCAAACAGG